rnacentral:rRNA from 1 species
CAAGAAAUAACAACAACGGGCUUUGUCUCGUUGAUUGGAAUGAGCACAAUGUAAAAGUCUUAGCUAGGACCCACUGGAGGGCAAGUCUGGUGCCAGCAGCCGCGGUAAUUCCAGCUCCAGUAGCGUAUAUUAAAGUUGUUGCAGUUAAAAAGCUCGUAGUUGGACUUCCACUCCUUUCGGAGCAGCCUGGCAACUCUGCAUGUCCUUAAACGGAUGGCAGAGACCUGCGGGCCCUUUACCUUGAGAAAACUAGAGUGUUUAAGGCAGGCCACGCCUGAAUACUGCAGCUGGGAAUAAUGAAUCACGACUGUCUUGGCGAGGCAGCUCUACACAUUUAAUAGGGACAGUUGGGGGCAUUCGUACUCAGCAGUCAGAGGUGAAAUUCUUGGAUUUGCUGAAGACGGACUAGUGCGAAAGCAUUUGCCAAGGAUGUUUUCAUUAAUCAAGAACGAAAGUUAAGGGAUCAAAGACGAUCAGAUACCGUCCUAGUCUUAACCAUAAACGAUGCCGACUAGGGAUUGGGAGGAGCGUACAAAUCCUCUCAGCACCUUACGAGAAAUCAAAGUCUUUGGGUUCUGGGGGGAGUAUGGUCGCAAGACUGAAACUUAAAGGAAUUGACGGAAGGGCACCACAAGGAGUGGAGCCUGCGGCUUAAUUUGACACAACACGGGGAAACUUACCAGGUCCAGACAUAGUCAGGAUUGACAGAUUGAGAGCUCUUUCUUGAUCCUAUGGGUGGUGGUGCAUGGCCGUUCCUAGUUGGUGGAGUGAUCUGUCUGGUUAAUUCCGAUAACGAACGAGACCUCAACCUGCUAAAUAGUUCUACCCUCAGCAGGGUACAACUUCUUAGAGGGACUUCCAAGGCUACUUGGAGGAAGUGUGAGGCAAUAACAGGUCUGUGAUGCCCUUAGAUGUCCUGGGCCGCACGCGCGCUACACUGACGCAGGCAUCGAGUUCCUUGGCUGACAAGCCUAGGCAACCUCCAAACUGCGUCGUAGUUGGGAUUGACCCUUGCAAUUCUUGGUCAUGAACCAGGAAUUCCUAGUAAGCGCAAGUCAUCAGCUUGCACUGAUUAAGUCCCUGCCCUUUGUACACACCGCCCGUCGCUCCUACCGAUUCCGAGUGAUGAGGUGAAUUUCUCGGACAAAGGAAGUUAAGUGAACCUUAUCACUUAGAGGAAGGAGA